rnacentral:misc_RNA from 1 species
GGUGAGUGGGUCGAGUCCGGCGAUUAUCACCGUGAUCUGAUGGGUGUGAAACCGAAGAAAACCCGUCGAGCGUGGAAAAAUGAGAGGAAAGUUGCGCCGGCGCAAGGGAAAUCCUUUAAAUGUGUGUUUAACCACAAAAGCGACGUGAGUUUAACCAACAUAAUCGACGGUUGGGCGCCCGGAAAAGCCACCACCCGCCUCCUCAUCGUUCCCCGAAAGAGUUGUGAUCCGUCGGCGUGACCUGUGUGACACUUUCAUUUGCCGGGUUAACGCCCCCUCGAAAUCCGGCCAGUAUCGAAACCAAAAAUUUAACGCUUGCUCAGCGCGUGAGAUCGCCAGAUGCCCGGGGUUCGGUCAUCAUCGAUGAAAACCACAUGGGCCAACGAACGCCCCUCAUAAUGAGCGCAACGGAUCCGAGCAUCGAUCGAUUCUGGACCUAGCCAAAAUGGAUUUUCUAUCGCUGGCGGAAUGCGUAUGGGAAUCUGGCUGUGGACCACUUUAUUUUGUGUGUACUUUUUGCGGUCGCUGGCAGCCAACAGUCAACCAACCACAACAACAGCGACCACAACAACACCAAUCGAGCAACAGUUGAGGCCGCCCCAGCAACAACAACAAAAGCAUUCCGGCAUGGCCUCUACCUCGGCCUGCGCCCUACCCACCCCUUCUCCAACUUUCCACGCCUGUUGUUGCUGCUGCUGUAGUGAGAGGCGGAGCAACGCAGCCCCAUGCGGAGGCAGUAAGUGCGAUAAGGCAGGCAUUAGGAGCAUGCACAUACGAAUAGCAAGCGAAGGAAGAGCGGAGCCAAAGAGAGGGAUCCCCAAAAAGAGAAGGAGA